rnacentral:rRNA from 1 species
UACGUAGGUGGCAAGCGUUGUCCGGAAUUAUUGGGCGUAAAGCGCGCGCAGGCGGUCCUUUAAGUCUGAUGUGAAAGCCCACGGCUCAACCGUGGAGGGUCAUUGGAAACUGGGGGACUUGAGUACAGAAGAGAAGAGUGGAAUUCCACGUGUAGCGGUGAAAUGCGUAGAGAUGUGGAGGAACACCAGUGGCGAAGGCGGUCUGCCUGGGCAGUUGGCUGACACUGAGGCGCGGACAGCGUGGGGAGCAAACAGG